GCAACGUGAUCUCGAAUGAAUUGCGUCUCAUUUAUCACGCAAACCAAAUCCAAAAUUGCGUCGAUAUAACGACGCAUUCUCUUUUAUGUCACACAUGCGCAGUAGCCAGCACUAUCUUUUAAGGCCAAGAGGCUUUAUUGUUAGCCUAUUUAUAACAAAAACAAAACGUUAUUCACGUUGCUUAACGUAACGACUCAUUAUAAAUAUGCUGUUAAGUCCCCACAAACUAAUACUGAGCUCUUUUGGGCUGUUAAAGUCAAGUUUUGAUUUUAGCAAGUCUUUUUCUGUUUGAUUGAAUUCAAACGAACCCUGUAAACAUUGACAUAAAUUUGUCCAGAGCGUGAUUUGCGCACAACAACCUCUAGGCCUACAACGUUUUGAAUAGUUUCAAAUAUUUCAUUCAUAAAUCCCCAGACCCCCUCCCUCUGCUACUACACCAAUGAUGUCAUUUUAUUGCGACCACUCUCUGGAUUGUGGAUUUUACGGACUGCAUUCCCAUGUACUGGGUUUAGCUGGACCGUAUUGGACUGGAGGUAAGUUAAUUUAAUUGAUAAGGUGAAUGUGCAUUAACUGCUAUAUUUGAAUGCAUCUUCCAGGUCACAUCAUUGGUUUAGUCGCCAAACUUUUCUGACUGUCACAGUUGGUUUUACCAGCCAGCUGCUUCUACUGUGUAGCCUAGCCUAGCCUACCCAUUAUUGCUCGCGUGGCAAAUUAUUCUGUCCAUAAUUAUUUAUAGCCUACUGUUUGGUUUUACAAGCGGUAUCUCGGCCUCAUCAAGCAAGCAGAACUUUGAAAACGACGUCAGAUGCGCCAAAGUUCUGCUAAAGAGAGUAAAUAGCGCGAUAUGUACUCUGAAAUCUCAUUCUGAGCAGAGCACUUGCUUGACAGGUUCACUAAUCUCUCUCUCUCUCUCUCUCUCUCUCUCUCUCUCUCUCUCCCCCCAACUUUCAGGUGACCGGGUAUUUUGUACCUGCUUCGGACUGGUUCUGUCAUUAACCUACUGAGCUGGUGCUUCUGUCCCAGGUAAAAUGUGUUUGAACUUACAUUUGCAUCUAUACAUGAAGUAGGCAGCCUAGAGCAGGAGGCGGGCGUCAGAUCAGAGGGUUGCAGGCAUCUCCAUCGCAUCGCUCCUAGGCAUCUGAAAGUGUACCGUUGCGCACAGAUCAUGCUGGUAACGAGUUAUUCAAAGGGUCUACCAAUCAUGGCAAAAACAGAAAUCCAGCUCCUCAGCCCAGGCAGUGCCAACAACCCAGCUGAUCCAGGAGCUGCAGCGAGGGGUAGUGAUAACACUCCGGGCACCCCGACUGCCCUCUUCAACCAUUCCCAUGGAAUUCAUCCUGUCCAGCCUCCGUCAGAUAAUCCAGCCCUCCUCCUCCUACUUCCAGAGACUAAUUUGCAGAUUCUAAUGGGUAUGUGCUAAGGAGAUGAUGAGUGAACACGCUGCCAGUUUGGUUGCAGUGUGUCACCGAAUUCCGUAGAUUCAUCAUCACUAUAUGGGGUGGAAGCUGCACAGACUACAACAAGGCUUCUGGGACCCCACUCCCCUCAAGCAAGACAUUUACCACCUGCUUCACCUAUGAAGGACUGAUUAUUGGCAGUGAUACCACAACGCAUACAAGCUGUUCAGCCUGCUGCCCUCCGGGUAGAGGUACAGGAGUAUCUGCUUCCGCAACUCCAGACUCGCCAACAUCUUCAUCUACCAGACUGUCAUGCCGAAUCGUCCCUCCUCUCUCCCAUCCCAGGAUGCCGAAUUAUGACCAAGUGACUGAAGAACUGCCAUACGUCUUCACUGACCAGAGGCUGUAUGGAGACUCACAGUAUAAUUCUACACGAUCCACUAUAAGUCAUAUUUUAUUUCAGGUGGUUUGAAUAGCUGUGAUACAUUAAUGAUGCCUGCCAACGAUUCUGAAUUGUGUACAGUCUGUAAUAUUUCUUCUUCAAGGGACCAGUCAAGUCGAUGUGACAGGUGAUUUUUAUACAAAACUUUGUCAAAGUUUACGUAAUUGACACAUCUGGUUGGUCCUUGUUUUGAAUUCUGAAUUGUCAAUAUACUAUAUGCCUUUAUCAGGUUUGAGCUUGGAGUUGAGUAUAUGUUAAAUUAAUAGACUGUGUUUUUUGCUAGUCUUCACAUUAAACUUAGACCGAACUGCCUUUACCUUUGGAUCGUCUGCAGUUCCCUGUUGGCCCACUACCAUCUGCCCCGCAUGGUGCGCGACACCAGACACUGGAGCAGCUGGGUCGCCACUCAUCAACGCAGAGUGAAACAGUGCUUUGACCGCUCCCACAGGGUUAAAAGCCCCACACUUGCUCCACUGGACUGAUUGAGGAUCCGCAGGCCUACCCGGGGCCACAAGCUCAAGUCAUUCUGUUCUGCCCCACUGCAAGUGACUGAGCAGCUGGGUCCCGCCAUUUUCCGCCGUGUUCGCAAGGUGCCGCCGCCUACUGCAACAGACCUGGAGGCGACCGGCCCGUACAAGGGCCCAUCCAGGCCAUCUCAGGGACUAUGUACUCUGACAAUAUGAAUGAUGUUCCUGGGUCUCCCCUGGGGAGGGGGGAAAUGUUAUGUCUGCUCUGUUGCCUGUGCUGAUAUUUCAUAUUUCCUGAUGCUACUUGAAGACAACAUAAUAACAUUUGUGCAGGGCAUGCUGGGAUCCGAGUUCAGUGAAAUAAACGUCUGGUAUGGCUAGACUUUGA